rnacentral:tRNA from 1 species
GAAAUAAGUUCUACAAAAUUAAGCUUCUAACUUAAAUUUUUAGUGGUGUAAUUCCAUUAUUAUUUCU